AAGGGAGACCUAAUUCAGGUAGGAGACGAAAAAAUAGUAGUCCCAACCAAGAAUCAAUCCCAAAAGGUCGGAGCGAGGCGAAAUUGGCUUUCAAACUAGGUUCUGGGUUCAAACAAGACCUGAAUCAGGAACAAGGGCUAUUAGCUCCGGUGGUUAGAGCGCACCCCUGAUAAGGGUGAGGUCCCUGGUUCGAGUCCAGGAUGGCCCACCUGCACAGGUGGCAAAAACAAAGAAGAGAAGCUCCGAAUCAGCACCUUAUCUUAUCUAUAGAUAAGAGAGAAUGCUGGCUCUGAGUUCAGAGUCCAGAGGAACCUUGAAAACUGCAUAGAGCUAGGUGAAAAAGCCAAAAAAGAAGACCGCAA
rnacentral:tRNA from 1 species